GCCGAAGUGGCGAAAUUGGUAGACGCGCUAGAUUCAGAGUCUAGUCCUGAAUAGGGGUAGGGGUUCGAGUCCCCUCUUCGGCA
rnacentral:tRNA from 1 species